rnacentral:rRNA from 1 species
ACGCUGGCGGCAGGCUUAACACAUGCAAGUCGAACGGUAACAGGGAUUAGCUUGCUAAUCUGCUGACGAGUGGCGGACGGGUGAGUAAUGCUUGGGAAUCUGGCUUAUGGAGGGGGAUAACUACGGGAAACUGUAGCUAAUACCGCGUAAAAUCUUCGGAUUAAAGGGUGGGACUUUCGAGCCACCUGCCAUAAGAUGAGCCCAAGUGGGAUUAGGUAGUUGGUUAGGUAAAGGCUGACCAAGCCGACGAUCUCUAGCUGGUCUGAGAGGAUGACCAGCCACACUGGAACUGAGACACGGUCCAGACUCCUACGGGAGGCAGCAGUGGGGAAUAUUGCACAAUGGGGGGAACCCUGAUGCAGCCAUGCCGCGUGAAUGAAGAAGGCCUUCGGGUUGUAAAGUUCUUUCGGUGACGAGGAAGGUUGAUAGGUUAAUAGCCUAUCAAAUUGACGUUAAUCACAGAAGAAGCACCGGCUAACUCCGUGCCAGCAGCCGCGGUAAUACGGGGGGUGCGAGCGUUAAUCGGAAUAACUGGGCGUAAAGGGCACGCAGGCGGUGACUUAAGUGAGAUGUGAAAGCCCCGAGCUUAACUUGGGAAUUGCAUUUCAUACCGGGUCGCUAGAGUACUUUAGGGAGGGGUAGAAUUCCACGUGUAGCGGUGAAAUGCGUAGAGAUGUGGAGGAAUACCGAAGGCGAAGGCAGCCCCUUGGGAAUGUACUGACGCUCAUGUGCGAAAGCGUGGGGAGCAAACAGGAUUAGAUACCCUGGUAGUCCACGCUGUAAACGAUGUCGAUUUGGGGAUUGGGCUUUGAGCUUGGUGCCCGUAGCUAACGUGAUAAAUCGACCGCCUGGGGAGUACGGCCGCAAGGUUAAAACUCAAAUGAAUUGACGGGGGCCCGCACAAGCGG